rnacentral:rRNA from 1 species
CGCUGGCGGCAGGCCUAACACAUGCAAGUCGAACGGUAACAGGAAGCAGCUUGCUGCUUCGCUGACGAGUGGCGGACGGGUGAGUAAUGUCUGGGAAACUGCCUGAUGGAGGGGGAUAACUACUGGAAACGGUGGCUAAUACCGCAUAACGUCGCAAGACCAAAGAGGGGGACCUUCGGGCCUCUUGCCAUCAGAUGUGCCCAGAUGGGAUUAGCUUGUUGGUGAGGUAACGGCUCACCAAGGCGACGAUCCCUAGCUGGUCUGAGAGGAUGACCAGCCACACUGGAACUGAGACACGGUCCAGACUCCUACGGGAGGCAGCAGUGGGGAAUAUUGCACAAUGGGCGCAAGCCUGAUGCAGCCAUGCCGCGUGUAUGAAGAAGGCCUUCGGGUUGUAAAGUACUUUCAGCGGGGAGGAAGGUGUUGUGGUUAAUAACCGCAGCAAUUGACGUUACCCGCAGAAGAAGCACCGGCUAACUCCGUGCCAGCAGCCGCGGUAAUACGGAGGGUGCAAGCGUUAAUCGGAAUUACUGGGCGUAAAGCGCACGCAGGCGGUCUGUCAAGUCGGAUGUGAAAUCCCCGGGCUCAACCUGGGAACUGCAUUCGAAACUGGCAGGCUUGAGUCUUGUAGAGGGGGGUAGAAUUCCAGGUGUAGCGGUGAAAUGCGUAGAGAUCUGGAGGAAUACCGGUGGCGAAGGCGGCCCCCUGGACAAAGACUGACGCUCAGGUGCGAAAGCGUGGGGAGCAAACAGGAUUAGAUACCCUGGUAGUCCACGCCGUAAACGAUGUCUACUUGGAGGUUGUGCCCUUGAGGCGUGGCUUCCGGAGCUAACGCGUUAAGUAGACCGCCUGGGGAGUACGGCCGCAAGGUUAAAACUCAAAUGAAUUGACGGGGGCCCGCACAAGCGGUGGAGCAUGUGGUUUAAUUCGAUGCAACGCGAAGAACCUUACCUGGUCUUGACAUCCACAGAAGAAUCCAGAGAUGGAUUUGUGCCUUCGGGAACUGUGAGACAGGUGCUGCAUGGCUGUCGUCAGCUCGUGUUGUGAAAUGUUGGGUUAAGUCCCGCAACGAGCGCAACCCUUAUCCUUUGUUGCCAGCGAUUAGG